rnacentral:rRNA from 1 species
UACGUAGGGGGCUAGCGUUAUCCGGAAUUACUGGGCGUAAAGGGUGCGUAGGUGGUUUCUUAAGUCAGAGGUGAAAGGCUACGGCUCAACCGUAGUAAGCCUUUGAAACUGGGAAACUUGAGUGCAGGAGAGGAGAGUGGAAUUCCUAGUGCAGCGGUGAAAUGCGUAGAUAUUAGGAGGAACACCAGUUGCGAAGGCGGCUCUCUGGACUGUAACUGACACUGAGGCACGAAAGCGUGGGGAGCAAACAGG